rnacentral:rRNA from 1 species
UGAACGUUACCAAACUGUUGCCUCGGCGGGGUCACGCCCCGGGUGCGUAAAAGCCCCGGAACCAGGCGCCCGCCGGAGGAACCAACCAAACUCUUUCUGUAGUCCCCUCGCGGACGUAUUUCUUACAGCUCUGAGCAAAAAUUCAAAAUGAAUCAAAACUUUCAACAACGGAUCUCUUGGUUCUGGCAUCGAUGAAGAACGCAGCGAAAUGCGAUAAGUAAUGUGAAUUGCAGAAUUCAGUGAAUCAUCGAAUCUUUGAACGCACAUUGCGCCCGCCAGUAUUCUGGCGGGCAUGCCUGUCCGAGCGUCAUUUCAACCCUCGAACCCCUCCGGGGGAUCGGCGUUGGGGAUCGGGACCCCUCACCGGGUGCCGGCCCUGAAAUACAGUGGCGGUCUCGCCGCAGCCUCUCCUGCGCAGUAGUUUGCACAACUCGCACCGGGAGCGCGGCGCGUCCACGUCCGUAAAACACCCAACUUCUGAAAUGUUGACCUCGGAUCAGGUAGGAAUACCCGCUGAACUUAAGCAUAUCAAUAAGCGGA